rnacentral:rRNA from 1 species
UACACGAGUGGCGAACGGGUGAGUACACGUGGGUGAUCUGCCCUGCACUUCGGGAUAAGCCUGGGAAACUGGGUCUAAUACCGGAUAGGACCAUGGACUUCACGGUUUGUGGUGGAAAGCUUUUGCGGUGUGGGAUGGGCCCGCGGCCUAUCAGCUUGUUGGUGGGGUAAUGGCCUACCAAGGCGACGACGGGUAGCCGGCCUGAGAGGGUGUCCGGCCACACUGGGACUGAGAUACGGCCCAGACUCCUACGGGAGGCAGCAGUGGGGAAUAUUGCACAAUGGGCGCAAGCCUGAUGCAGCGACGCCGCGUGAGGGAUGACGGCCUUCGGGUUGUAAACCUCUUUCAAUAGGGACGAAGCGCAAGUGACGGUACCUAUAGAAGAAGCACCGGCCAACUACGUG